rnacentral:rRNA from 1 species
AUUGAACGCUGGCGGCAGGCCUAACACAUGCAAGUCGAGCGGCAGCGGGAAGGUAGCUUGCUACUUUUGCCGGCGAGCGGCGGACGGGUGAGUAAUGCCUGGGGAUCUGCCCAGUCGAGGGGGAUAACUACUGGAAACGGUAGCUAAUACCGCAUACGCCCUACGGGGGAAAGCAGGGGACCUUCGGGCCUUGCGCGAGUGGAUGAACCCAGGUGGGAUUAGGUAUUUGGUGAGGUAAUGGCUCACCAAGGCGACGAUCCCUAGCUGGUCUGAGAGGAUGAUCAGCCACACUGGAACUGAGACACGGUCCAGACUCCUACGGGAGGCAGCAGUGGGGAAUAUUGCACAAUGGGGGAAACCCUGAUGCAGCCAUGCCGCGUGUGUGAAGAAGGCCUUCGGGUUGUAAAGCACUUUCAGCGAGGAGGAAAGGUUGGUAGCUAAUAACUGCCAGCUGUGACGUUACUCGCAGAAGAAGCACCGGCUAACUCCGUGCCAGCCGCCGCGGUAAAAC